GACGAACGCUGGCGGCGUGCCUAACACAUGCAAGUCGAACGGAACUGUUUUGAAAGAUUUCUUCGGAAUGAAUUUGAUUUAGUUUAGUGGCGGACGGGUGAGUAACGCGUGAGUAACCUGCCUUCAAGAGGGGGAUAACAUUCUGAAAAGAAUGCUAAUACCGCAUGACAUAUCGGAAUCACAUGGUUUUGAUAUCAAAGAUUUUAUCGCUUGAAGAUGGACUCGCGUCCGAUUAGUUAGUUGGUGAGGUAACGGCUCACCAAGACCGCGAUCGGUAGCCGGACUGAGAGGUUGAACGGCCACAUUGGGACUGAGACACGGCCCAGACUCCUACGGGAGGCAGCAGUGGGGGAUAUUGCGCAAUGGGGGCAACCCUGACGCAGCAACGCCGCGUGAAGGAUGAAGGUUUUCGGAUUGUAAACUUCUUUUAUUAAGGACGAAACUUGACGGUACUUAAUGAAUAAGCUCCGGCUAA
rnacentral:rRNA from 1 species